AUGAUACCAGGUGAAAUAGUUCCCACAAACCAAAGCAGUGAUUAACUAGUCUUCCUGACUAGUCACUGCUCUCUUGUGUUUUUUGCUCCCAAUAUCUGCAUUGUUUUGAUCACUUCAUCUCAAGAGCCCUGGAUUCUGGCCCACGUAACCCGUCUGGUUCUUUCUCUUUAGCCAUAGGGAUGGAAGACUGGGGCUUCUGGUCCUGACAGGGGGCAGCUCAACCAGUGAAGAAUGGUCCAGGCAGCUGGUGUGACUAAGCCAUGCCUUGUAAGGAUGGGGCGGAGUGGCGUAGACUGUGAAGGCAUUGAGGAGUCUCUUAGCCGCACUUGAGGGAAGCCGUCACAGGAUGUGAGCAGAGCCAGGCUCAGGGGCAGCGUCUGAAAAGGGAGUCUGUUUGAGAAUCAAAGCCCACCGGGUCCACCCUCUGCACACGCACAUAGGACGAGGGUGCAUCAGACCCUGCCCACCGAAG
rnacentral:lncRNA from 1 species